rnacentral:rRNA from 1 species
GAUGAACGCUAGCGGGAGGCCUAAUACAUGCAAGUCGAACGGUAAGGUCCCUUCGGGGAUACACGAGUGGCGGACGGGUGCGUAACGCGUACGAAACAUACCUUCAACAGGGAGAUACCCUCCGGGAAACUGGGAAAUAAUACCCCAUAGUAUUGAGAUAUCGCAUGAUAUUUCAAUUAAAGCUUUGGCGGUUGAAGAUUGUCGUGCGUCUGAUUAGCUAGUUGGUGAGGUAACGGCUCACCAAGGCGACGAUCAGUAGCUGGUCUGAGAGGAUGAUCAGCCACACUGGAACUGAGACACGGUCCAGACUCCUACGGGAGGCAGCAGUAGGGAAUAUUGGACAAUGGGCGGAAGCCUGAUCCAGCCAUCCCGCGUGUAGGAACAAGGCCCUAUCGGGUUGUAAACUACUUUAUUAGGGAAGAAAACUUUAAUUAUUCAGAGCUUGACGGUACCUAAGGAAUAAGCACCGGCUAACUACCGUGCCAGCAGCCGCGGU